ACGCUCAUUCAGGAAGGAGGCAGGUGGAGCCUGAAGCCUGCUCCUCUGAGGGCCCCAGGGUGGCCCCUGGCUGGUCCCAAAUGCUCCACACAAUAAAAGUAGAGUGAGAAGCAGGAACCAGGUAUUCACAACAGUCAAUACAAGAACAUCGAUACUAUCAGCAACCCACAUCUGCAGGACGCUUUGUAUUUUAUUUGGUUUCCUCAGGUUGAGAACUCUUCAAGGCAGCUGCCUUCCUUCAAGAGAGCCCCUCCUGCCCCGCCCUACCUGAGUGUGACCUUCAGGCCAGACCUGACCUUCAUUUCUGGAUGUCUUCCCCUGACCGCCGAAGCCCAGAGACCUGUACAAGAGCCCUAGUGUGUUGCCCAUGUGCCAGACUCUGGAGCUGGAUGUCCUUGAAGGGUGGUGAUGCUGGAGAUUAGUCCCCUGCCACCCCACUGCCCGAGAGCAGACCAACUAAG